AUUGAACGCUGGCGGCAGGCCUAACACAUGCCAGUCGAGCGGAUGAAGGGAGCUUGCUCCUGGAUUCAGCGGCGGACGGGUGAGUAAUGCCUAGGAAUCUGCCUGGUAGUGGGGGAUAACGUCCGGAAACGGGCGCUAAUACCGCAUACGUCCUGAGGGAGAAAGUGGGGGAUCUUCGGACCUCACGCUAUCAGAUGAGCCUAGGUCGGAUUAGCUAGUUGGUGGGGUAAAGGCCUACCAAGGCGACGAUCCGUAACUGGUCUGGGAGGAUGAUCAGUCACACUGGAACUGAGACACGGUCCAGACUCCUACGGGAGGCAGCAGUGGGGAAUAUUGGACAAUGGGCGAAAGCCUGAUCCAGCCAUGCCGCGUGUGUGAAGAAGGUCUUCGGAUUGUAAAGCACUUUAAGUUGGGAGGAAGGGCAGUAAGUUAAUACCUUGCUGUUUUGACGUUACCAACAGAAUAAGCACCGGCUAACUUCGUG
rnacentral:rRNA from 1 species